rnacentral:rRNA from 1 species
UACGUAGGGGGCAAGCGUUGUCCGGAUUUAUUGGGCGUAAAGCGCUCGCAGGUGGUUCAUUGCGUCGUGCGUGAAAGACCCCGGCUCAACUGGGGAGGGUCGUGCGAAACGGGUGAACUAGAGGCCAGUAGGGGGAUGCGGAAUUCCGGGUGUAGUGGUGGAAUGCGUAGAGAUCCGGAGGAACACCAGCGGCGAAGGCGGCAUCCUGGACUGGUCCUGACACUCAACUACGAAAGCGUGGGGAGCAAACAGG